rnacentral:rRNA from 1 species
UACGAAGGGUGCUAGCGUUGUUCGGAAUUAUUGGGCGUAAAGCGUAUGUAGGCGGUUUUGUAAGUCGGAUGUGAAAGCCCUGAGCUUAACUCAGGAAUUGCAUUCGAAACUGCUUUACUCGAGUCUGGUAGGGGAUAGUGGAAUUCCUAGUGUAGGGGUGAAAUCCGUAGAUAUUAGGAGGAAUACCAAUGGCGAAGGCAACUAUCUGGGCCAGUACUGACGCUGAGAUACGAAAGCGUGGGGAGCAAACAGG